rnacentral:rRNA from 1 species
UGGGGAAUAUUGCACAAUGGGCGCAAGCCUGAUGCAGCCAUGCCGCGUGUAUGAAGAAGGCCUUCGGGUUGUAAAGUACUUUCAGUCGGGAGGAAGGUGUCAAGGUUAAUAACCUUGGCAAUUGACGUUACCGACAGAAGAAGCACCGGCUAACUCCGUGCCAGCAGCCGCGGUAAUACGGAGGGUGCAAGCGUUAAUCGGAAUUACUGGGCGUAAAGCGCACGCAGGCGGUUGGUUGAGUCAGAUGUGAAAUCCCCAGGCUUAACCCGGGAAGUGCAUCUGAUACUGGUCAGCUAGAGUCUUGUAGAGGGGGGUAGAAUUCCAUGUGUAGCGGUGAAAUGCGUAGAGAUGUGGAGGAAUACCGGUGGCGAAGGCGGCCCCCUGGACAAAGACUGACGCUCAGGUGCGAAAGCGUGGGGAGCAAACAGG